AUACGUAGGGGGCAAGCGUUAUCCGGAUUUACUGGGUGUAAAGGGAGCGUAGACGGAAGGCCAAGUCUGAUGUGAAAGCCCGCGGCUCAACUGCGGGACUGCAUUGGAAACUGGUCAUCUGGAGUGCAGGAGGGGUAAGCGGAAUUCCUAGUGUAGCGGUGAAAUGCGUAGAUAUUAGGAGGAACACCGGUGGCGAAGGCGACUUACUGGACUGUAACUGAAAUUGAGGCUCGAUAGCGUGGGGAGCAAACAGGAUUAGAUUCCCUGGUGGUCCACGCCGUAAACGAUGAAUACUAGGUGUCGGGUUUCUAUAGAGAUUCGGUGCCGCAGCAAACGCAAUAAGUAUUCCACCUGGGGAGUACGUUCGCAAGAAUGAAACUCAAAUGAAUUGGCGGGG
rnacentral:rRNA from 1 species